GAAGCAAGCCAGACAGCCGCUGCCCGUUAUUAAUACACGGGGGGAGGAAAGUCCGGGCUCCGCAGGGCAGGAUGCCGGCUAACGGCCGGGCGCCGUGAGGCGACGGAAAGUGCAACAGAGAGUAGACCGCCGAUGGCAGGACUUUGGUCCACAUUUGCAUGAUGCGGCUUUGGUCGUGUCUACAAAUGGCACAGGCAAGGGUGAAACGGUGCGGUAAGAGCGCACCAGCGUCCCGGGCAACCGGGCGGCUCGGUAAACCCCAUCCGGAGCAAGACCAAGCAGCAGGCGUUGAGGUGGCCCGCCGAGCCUGCGGGUAGGUUGCAAGAGCCCACUAGUAAUGGUGGGCGUAGAGGAAUGGCUGUCAGGAUGCGCGAGCAUCUGUACAAAACCCGGCUUAUCGGCUGGCUUCGCCC
rnacentral:RNase_P_RNA from 1 species